UGGGGAAUUUUGGACAAUGGGCGAAAGCCUGAUCCAGCAAUGCCGCGUGUGUGAAGAAGGCCUUCGGGUUGUAAAGCACUUUUGUCCGGAAAGAAAUCCUUGGCUCUAAUACAGUCGGGGGAUGACGGUACCGGAAGAAUAAGCACCGGCUAACUACGUGCCAGCAGCCGCGGUAAUACGUAGGGUGCAAGCGUUAAUCGGAAUUACUGGGCGUAAAGCGUGCGCAGGCGGUUUGCUAAGACCGAUGUGAAAUCCCCGGGCUCAAACCUGGGGAACUGCAUUGGUGACUGGCAGGCUAGAGUAUGGCAGAGGGGGGUAGAAUUCCACGUGUAGCAGUGAAAUGCGUAGAGAUGUGGAGGAAUACCGAUGGCGAAGGCAGCCCCCUGGGCCAAAUACUGACGCUCAUGCACGAAAAGCGUGGGGGAGCAAAACAGGAUUAGA
rnacentral:rRNA from 1 species